GGAGAGAGAGAGAGAGAUUCCUGUAGAAUACAAGACAAGACUAUCACAAUGAGCUGAAAUGUUGGGUCUGUGAAAGUAAUGAGAAGCACAGUGGAAAUAAGUUUCUGAAGGAUGGAAGAGGCUGGAGGCUGGCUAGUGGGAGAAGGUUCCCAGACACGUGAGAGACCCAGCAACAGAGUGCCACAUCAUUGUUAUUCCCCCAAGAUCCUGGAUUCCAGACAGCCCAGUGGAGCACCAUAGAAAGAACUUUCAGGAAGCAGAGAAUGGUUCAGGGAUUCUGAUUUUCCUGAACUUCCUCCUCCCUAUCCACCUCCAAUUAGGAAAAAAGAAGAAAAAAAAGAUUAAACACGUCCAGAAUGUUAAAAAUCCAGUAGGGAUUUUAAAUGUUCACUAUUACAGCACAUACAUUUAUACACAAGGAGGUCUGAAGGCUUUCUGGUUUCAAUUAAGAUUAUUAUCUCCUUUGAGUGAUGGUUUCUCCUUUUUUCCCCCAGAAUUCCCUUUGGCUGAUCUAUUUUAAAAGAGUAUGAGCUAGGGAUAACUAGGCUUAUUUGUAUUGAGUCUACUUUCCCCUCCAGGUCUCUUUGUCUUAAAUUCUGAAGUCCCUUUUCCUAUCCUGCUAAAGGUUAGCAGCUUGAAAUCAAGGACAUGAGUCAUUGUUACUUUUCAUGUGGAAGAUAAGCUCUGUGGCUUUUAUAGCAAAAA
ensembl:lncRNA novel transcript